rnacentral:rRNA from 1 species
GACGAACGCUGGCGGCGUGCCUAAUACAUGCAGGUAGAACGCUGAAGGAGGAGCUUGCUUCUCUGGAUGAGUUGCGAACGGGUGAGUAACGCGUAGGUAACCUGCCUGGUAGCGGGGGAUAACUAUUGGAAACGAUAGCUAAUACCGCAUAAGAGUAGAUGUUGCAUGACAUUUGCUUAAAAGGUGCAAUUGCAUCACUACCAGAUGGACCUGCGUUGUAUUAGCUAGUUGGUGGGGUAACGGCUCACCAAGGCGACGAUACAUAGCCGACCUGAGAGGGUGAUCGGCCACACUGGGACUGAGACACGGCCCAGACUCCUACGGGAGGCAGCAGUAGGGAAUCUUCGGCAAUGGACGGAAGUCUGACCGAGCAACGCCGCGUGAGUGAAGAAGGUUUUCGGAUCGUAAAGCUCUGUUGUAAGAGAAGAACGAGUGUGAGAGUGGAAAGUUCACACUGUGACGGUAUCUUACCAGAAAGAGACGGCUAACUACGUG